GAUGAACGCUGGCGGCGUGCUUAACACAUGCAAGUCGAACGGAAAGGCUCCUGCUUGCAGGGGUACUCGAGUGGCGAACGGGUGAGUAACACGUGGGUGAUCUGCCCUGCACUUCGGGAUAAGCCUGGGAAACUGGGUCUAAUACCGGAUAGGACCACAUUUUGGAUGGUGUGGUGGAAAGUUUUUCGGUGUGGGAUGAGCUCGCGGCCUAUCAGCUUGUUGGUGGGGUAAUGGCCUACCAAGGCGUCGACGGGUAGCCGGCCUGAGAGGGUGUACGGCCACAUUGGGACGGAGAUACGGCCCAGACUCCUACGGGAGGCAGCAGUGGGGAAUAUUGCACAAUGGGCGCAAGCCUGAUGCAGCGACGCCGCGUGGGGGAUGACGGCCUUCGGGUUGUAAACUCCUUUCGCUAGGGACGAAGCGUUUUUGUGACGGUACCUGGAGAAGAAGCACCGGCUAACUACGUG
rnacentral:rRNA from 1 species